rnacentral:tRNA from 1 species
AAGUCCUUUAAACACA